AAGCGUUUAUGACCAGACUUGGGCUUGGUUAAUCAUCUGGGGUUCUCCCCAGUGCACUUUUCCAGUCCAGGCCAGCAUCAGUUUUCCCCGGGGGAUAAAGGCUUAGAGAAUGUGGCCCUCUUCGGGGGGUGUUAUAGC
rnacentral:rRNA from 1 species